GUAGCUGCGAGCGAACAGGGAAGAGCCCAGCACCGAAUCCCGCGGCCGACACCGGGCGCCGGGAAAUGUGGUGUUCGGGAGGGUCCAUUAUCCCGAGAUCAUGCGGCGCGUCCAAGUCCAUCUUGAACGGGGCCACAGCCCAUAGAGGGUGCCAGGCCCGUAGAGACCGUCGCUGAUUGCGGGAGGAUCUCUCCUCAGAGUCGGGUUGCUUGAGAGUGCAGCCCUAAGAGGGUGGUAAACUCCAUCUAAGGCUAAAUAUGACCACGAGACCGAUAGCGAACAAGUACCGUGAGGGAAAGUUGAAAAGCACUUUGAAGAGAGAGUUCAAGAGUACGUGAAACCGUUUAGGGGUAAACCUGAGAAACCCGAAAGGUCGAAGGGAGAAAUUCAUUCGCGUUUCGCUGUCGGCGUGAGACGGUCGAGCGACGGGAAACGUUCGCGUUUCCCGCGCCUUUCGUUUUUCGAUCCGACAUCGAACGCGUGCACUUUUCUCCUGGUAGGACGUCGCGAUCCGUUGAGUGUCGGUCUACGGCCCGCGGUGGAGCCUUUUCGGACGGUUCGCGCCGUUGUUCCGUUAAGACCCGCGGUGACCUGGCCGACUCGCUCGACGGUAUACGAAUGGCUCGGGGCCGCUUUUAGAGCGUCCGGCUCGUGGCAAGCGCGUCGGAAGUGUCGGAUAUCGGACCUGGUGCCGGUACCGAUCUCCGAUGACUGUUGGCCUCGAAGAUCUCGGACAGACCCUAGUCUCUCCUUUUCGGAGGGGAGAUUCGGCCGAUCCGCGACGCUAUAGCUUUGGGUACUUUCAGGACCCGUCUUGAAACACGGACCAAGGAGUCUAGCAUGUGCGCGAGUCAUUGGGAAUCUAUAAACCUAAAGGCGUAAUGAAAGUAAAGGUCCGUCUAGCACGGACCGAGGGAGGAUGUUCGGUUCGUCCUUAAAAACGGCCGAGUCGCACUCCCGGGGCGUCUCGUUCUCAUCGCGAGAAGAGGCGCACCAAGAGCGUACACGCUGGGACCCGAAAGAUGGUGAACUAUGCCUGGUCAGGACGAAGUCAGGGGAAACCCUGAUGGAGGUCCGUAGCGAUUCUGACGUGCAAAUCGAUCGUCGGAACUGGGUAUAGGGGCGAAAGACUAAUCGAACCAUCUAGUAGCUGGUUCCCUCCGAAGUUUCCCUCAGGAUAGCUGGCGCUCGUAUUGUACGAGUUUCAUCCGGUAAAGCGAAUGAUUAGAGGCAUUGGGGUCGAAACGACCUCAACCUAUUCUCAAACUUUAAAUGGGUGAG
rnacentral:rRNA from 1 species